UACAGGGGGGGGCAAGCGUUGUUCGGAAUUACUGGGCGUAAAGGGCGCGUAGGCGGCCAACUAAGUCGGACGUGAAAUCCCCAGGCUCAACCCCGGGACUGCGUCCGAUACUCCCGAGCUGGAGGCAGGUAGGGGAGAUCGGAAUUCCUGGUGUAGCGGUGAAAUGCGCAGAUAUCAGGAGGAACACCGGUGGCGAAGGCGGAUCUCUGGGCCUUGCCUGACGCUGAGGCGCGAAAGCUAGGGGAGCGAACAGG
rnacentral:rRNA from 1 species